CACAUCUUCCGAGCGACUCGCUUUAAACGAAAUUAGAAAAUCCCACAAUAAAAACGUGAAAACAACACCCCCCCGAUGUUAAUAACAGUAAUGAUGAUGCAAAUAAUAAUAAUAUGACAACUGUAGUAAAGGCGCCGGUCACCGUCAAGGCACAAGGGUCGCUUGUAGUUUGAAGUGACGGCGGGACGACAAAGUCCACACAGAUCAUUCAUGGAAAGCCAUCAUCUUUAUUAAAAUGCCACAGCUAGUACAACACAAGGUGGUCUAUCUAAAAAUAAAGCCAAGACCUCUAGCGUCAAGGACUACUUAACUCUUUGUCUGCCAAUGCCAUCCAAAGACUUCAUUAAAAAUCCAUCUAUUACCUGCCAAUGCCGUCUAAAGACGUCAAUGGCGUUUUUUAACGGGGAUGGGUGGGGCAGGGUCUUGUGCAGUUUAUGUGUGAUAUUCAAGCCUCUGGAUAACUGCAAUGAGGAAUGGAACCGUAUAGAGGGCAACAAUGCCUUGAGGUGAACGUCCCUUCCUCAGACUGAAGAAGGGGAAGAAGAAGAAGGAGGGGGUGGGCCGGCGGUAUGCAACAGACAAUGAGAAGAGACAAACAUAAAGGUGGAAAAGAGAGAAGACAAAAUGAAAAAAAAAAAAAAAAAGAAAAAAAAAAAAGAAAGCUUUCGGUACUAGAAAUGUAUUGUGCCAAUGCAAGAAAAAUAUUCCUGCGACCGACAGGAAUGACGCCUUAGAUCAGGGGUGUCAAACUCAUUUUUGUCACGGCCCACAUCGUAGUUAUGACUUCCCUCGGAGGGCCGCUACAACUGUGAACCCAUAUCAAUGAAAGAUUACCUCAUAUACUGUAAUUACAUACAGUAUACACAACACAUUGAUGAAUAACCAGUUUUGAAAUCAGAAGCCUAAAAAAACAUGUUUUUCGAGUAUUACAUUUCUUUUCAAAGUGGGAUUGGUAACAAAUCAAUGCUUGCAAAUAUCUCAAUGGUAUUACACCAGAAGACAAUGAGCAAUUUUGAUUUGCUUUCCUCGGCCCACAUAAAAUGAUGUGGCGGGCCGGAUCUGACCCCCGGACCACGAUCGCGCAAAAUGCCGGCCCAUACAUAUGGCGAGAUGUUCUCGGCCGCUUGCUGGCUGAUUGUCUGCCGACCAGGAUUUGAUUAAAUGGGAUCCAGAAUCGUCAAAUGGGUGAACUCCCUUUUGGAUAGCCAGCCGAAGUUCCUCUGAUGAAGACUGACGAAGUCCGACGAAGGAAUUCAACACUUGCAAGUCGAACGUCUUUCACGAUUGCGACGAAGAAAAGUGAUGCAUCCAGCAGACCUUUGACUCCUAUUCCAGUACGCAGUGCAGACAAAAAAGAAGACUUUUUCCUGCCAGCUGGCAAGUUGGACAACUUCAACUCGACAUCUGCCACCUGACUAUAACUUGCCAGUUGGGUGUCUGGAACUCAUGACUUAACAACCGAAUUCCCGUCGAAUGCCUGUGAAAAGUAGCAGCGCUGACAUAAAUCCAGAUUGGGGAAACAAAGGUAGGAAUGACAAGGCAGCAAGCAAGAAGAGUGGCAGGAUCGUGCAAAACAAGGCAUCAUCGGUGAAUCCACAUCUGUACACGGAUUAAGAAGCUUGGUGAUUUCAAGUGUGACUUUGUGUGUUUUUACGCAUACACGAACACACGCGUUGUGGUUCUUUUUUUUUUUUUUUUCAGUUUACAGUUGUUAAAGUCACUCGUGUUAAGCUUG